rnacentral:rRNA from 1 species
ACGGGAGGCAGCAGUGGGGAAUAUUGCACAAUGGGCGCAAGCCUGAUGCAGCGAUGCCGCGUGAGGGAAGAAGGUUUUCGGAUUGUAAACCUCUGUCAUCGGGGACGAUAAUGACUGUACCCGAGAAGGAAGCUCCGGCUAACUACGUGCCAGCAGCCGCGGUAAUACGUAGGGAGCAAGCGUUAUCCGGAUUUAUUGGGUUUAGAGGGUGCGCAGGCGGAGGAUUAAGUCAGCGGUGAAAUUCUCAUGCUCAACAUGAGAACUGCCAUUGAUACUGGUCCCCUUGAGAGAUGUCGAGGAUGGCGGAAUGUGAUGUGUAGCGGUGAAAUGCUUAGAUAUGUCACAGAACACCGAUUGCGAAGGCAGCUGUCCAGAGAUCAUCUGACGCUCAGGCACGAGAGCAUGGGUAUCAAACAGGAUUAGAUACCCUGGUA